GGGUUGUGAGGUUAAGCGACUAAGCGUACACGGUGGAUGCCCUGGCAGUCAGAGGCGAUGAAGGACGUGCUAAUCUGCGAUAAGCGCCGGUAAGGUGAUAUGAACCGUUAUAACCGGCGAUUUCCGAAUGGGGAAACCCAGUGUGACUCGUCACACUAUCAUUAACUGAAUCCAUAGGUUAAUGAGGCGAACCGGGGGAACUGAAACAUCUAAGUACCCCGAGGAAAAGAAAUCAACCGAGAUUCCCCCAGUAGCGGCGAGCGAACGGGGAGGAGCCCAGAGCCUGAAUCAGCAUGUGUGUUAGUGGAAGCGUCUGGAAAGGCGCGCGAUACAGGGUGACAGCCCCGUACACAAAAGCGCAUGUGCUGUGAGCUCGAUGAGUAGGGCGGGACACGUGGUAUCCUGUCUGAAUAUGGGGGGACCAUCCUCCAAGGCUAAAUACUCCUGACUGACCGAUAGUGAACCAGUACCGUGAGGGAAAGGCGAAAAGAACCCCGGCGAGGGGAGUGAAAAGAACCUGAAACCGUGUACGUACAAGCAGUGGGAGCACCCUUCGGGGUGUGACUGCGUACCUUUGUAUAAUGGGUCAGCGACUUAUAUUCUGUAGCAAGGUUAACCGUAUAGGGGAGCCGCAGGAAACCGAGUCUUAACCGGGCGUUAAGUUGCAGGGUAUAGACCCGAAACCCGGUGAUCUAGCCAUGGGCAGGUUGAAGGUUGGGUAACACUAACUGGAGGACCGAACCGACUAAUGUUGAAAAAUUAGCGGAUGACCUGUGGCUGGGGGUGAAAGGCCAAUCAAACCGGGAGAUAGCUGGUUCUCCCCGAAAGCUAUUUAGGUAGCGCCUCGUGAAUUCAUCUCCGGGGUAGAGCACUGUUUCGGCUAGGGGGCCAUCCCGGCUUACCAACCCGAUGCAAACUGCGAAUACCGGAGAAUGUUAUCACGGGAGACACACGGCGGGUGCUAACGUCCGUCGUGAAGAGGGAAACAACCCAGACCGCCAGCUAAGGUCCCAAAGUCAUGGUUAAGUGGGAAACGAUGUGGGAAGGCCCAGACAGCCGGAUGUUGGCUUAGAAGCAGCCAUCAUUUAAAGAAAGCGUAAUAGCUCACUGGUCGAGUCGGCCUGCGCGGAAGAUGUAACGGGGCUAAACCAUGCACCGAAGCUGCGGCAGCGACGCUUAUGCGUUGUUGGGUAGGGGAGCGUUCUGUAAGCCUGCGAAGGUGGCCUGUGAGGGUUGCUGGAGGUAUCAGAAGUGCGAAUGCUGACAUAAGUAACGAUAAAGCGGGUGAAAAGCCCGCUCGCCGGAAGACCAAGGGUUCCUGUCCAACGUUAAUCGGGGCAGGGUGAGUCGACCCCUAAGGCGAGGCCGAAAGGCGUAGUCGAUGGGAAACGGGUUAAUAUUCCCGUACUUGGUGUUACUGCGAAGGGGGGACGGAGAAGGCUAUGUUGGCCGGGCGACGGUUGUCCCGGUUUAAGCGUGUAGGUGUGUGUUCGGUAAAUCCGGUUCACUUUAACACUGAGGCGUGACGACGAGGCACUACGGUGCUGAAGCAACAAAUGCCCUGCUUCCAGGAAAAGCCUCUAAGCAUCAGGUAACAUCAAAUCGUACCCCAAACCGACACAGGUGGUCAGGUAGAGAAUACCAAGGCGCUUGAGAGAACUCGGGUGAAGGAACUAGGCAAAAUGGUGCCGUAACUUCGGGAGAAGGCACGCUGACACGUAGGUGAAGUGAUUUACUCAUGGAGCUGAAGUCAGUCGAAGAUACCAGCUGGCUGCAACUGUUUAUUAAAAACACAGCACUGUGCAAACACGAAAGUGGACGUAUACGGUGUGACGCCUGCCCGGUGCCGGAAGGUUAAUUGAUGGGGUCAGCGCAAGCGAAGCUCCUGAUCGAAGCCCCGGUAAACGGCGGCCGUAACUAUAACGGUCCUAAGGUAGCGAAAUUCCUUGUCGGGUAAGUUCCGACCUGCACGAAUGGCGUAAUGAUGGCGGGCUGUCUCCACCCGAGACUCAGUGAAAUUGAACUCGCUGUGAAGAUGCAGUGUACCCGCGGCAAGACGGAAAGACCCCGUGAACCUUUACUAUAGCUUGACACUGAACAUUGAGCCUUGAUGUGUAGGAUAGGUGGGAGGCUUUGAAGUGUGGACGCCAGUCUGCAUGGAGCCGACCUUGAAAUACCACCCUUUAAUGUUUGAUGUUCUAACGUGGACCCGUUACCCGGGUUGCGGACAGUGUCUGGUGGGUAGUUUGACUGGGGCGGUCUCCUCCUAAAGAGUAACGGAGGAGCACGAAGGUUGGCUAAUCCGGUCGGACAUCAGGAGGUUAGUGCAAUGGCAUAAGCCAGCUUGACUGCGAGCGUGACGGCGCGAGCAGGUGCGAAGCAGGUCAUAGUGAUCCGGUGGUUCUGAAUGGAAGGGCCAUCGCUCAACGGAUAAAAGGUACUCCGGGGAUAACAGGCUGAUACCGCCCAAGAGUUCAUAUCGACGGCGGUGUUUGGCACCUCGAUGUCGGCUCAUCACAUCCGGGGCUGAAGUAGGUCCCAAGGGUAUGGCUGUUCGCCAUUUAAAGUGGUACGCGAGCUGGGUUUAGAACGUCGUGAGACAGUUCGGUCCCUAUCUGCCGUGGGCGCUGGAGAACUGAGGGGGCUGCUCCUAGUACGAGAGGACCGGAGUGGACGCAUCACUGGUGUUCGGGUUGUCAUGCCAAUGGCACUGCCCGGUAGCUAAAUGCGGAAGAGAUAAGUGCUGAAAGCAUCUAAGCACGAAACUUGCCCCGAGAUGAGUUCUCCCUGAGACUUUAGGUCUCCUGAAGGAACGUUGAAGACGACGACGUUGAUAGGCCGGGUGUGUAAGCGCAGCGAUGCGUUGAGCUAACCGGUACUAAUGAACCGUGAGGCUUAACCUUACAACGCCGAAG
rnacentral:rRNA from 1 species